AUUGAACGCUGGCGGUAUGCUUAACACAUGCAAGUCGAACGGUAACAUAAGAGAGCUUGCUCUCUUGAUGACGAGUGGCGGACGGGUGAGUAACAUAUAGGAAUCUGCCUCAUAGUUUGGGAUAACUACUCGAAAGAGUGGCUAAUACCGGAUGUGGACUACGGUUUAAAGCAGGGGAUCUUCGGACCUUGUGCUAUGAGAUGAGCCUAUAUAAGAUUAGCUAGUUGGUAGGGUAAAGGCCUACCAAGGCGACGAUCUUUAGCUGGUUUGAGAGGAUGAUCAGCCACACUGGGACUGAGACACGGCCCAGACUCCUACGGGAGGCAGCAGUGGGGAAUAUUGGACAAUGGGCGCAAGCCUGAUCCAGCCAUGCCGCGUGUGUGAAGAAGGUCUUCGGAUUGUAAAGCACUUUAAGUCGUGAAGAGGGUUGUAGUAACGAUACAACUUUGACAUUAGCGACAGAAUAAGCACCGGCUAACUUC
rnacentral:rRNA from 1 species